GGAAAGUAGGUUGUCCUCUGUGUUC
rnacentral:piRNA from 1 species